AUUCUCUCUCUCUCUCUCUCUCUCUCUCUCUCUCUCUCUGUGUGUGUGUGUGUGAGAGAGAGAGAGAGAGAGAGAGAGAGAUU